rnacentral:rRNA from 1 species
UACGUAGGGUGCGAGCGUUAAUCGGAAUUACUGGGCGUAAAGCGUGCGCAGGCGGUUUUGUAAGCCAGUUGUGAAAUCCCCGGGCUUAACCUGGGAAUGGCAUUUGGGACUGCAAGGCUUGAGUGCGGCAGAGGAGACUGGAAUUCCUGGUGUAGCAGUGAAAUGCGUAGAUAUCAGGAGGAACACCGAUGGCGAAGGCAGGUCUCUGGGCUGACACUGACGCUCAUGCACGAAAGCGUGGGGAGCAAACAGG